CAGUGUGAGGAACGGCACCCAGCAGCGGGCGGGAGGAGCCAGGACGCGUGUGAGACAGAACCACACAGCCCAGGCCACUUACUGGGGCACCAGAAACCAGCCUUGUCUAAGGGGGAGUCCUGAACACGCACCACUUUGGACGAAAAACUGCUUUUCUGUAUUUGUGAUGCGGACGAUAUCAGACAUCAGAACCAACGUCCGGACCACCCCGGUCCGGCCAACGUGGAGCACGAGGGACAUCACAGGACGAACCAGACCUUCACUCGGGGCAGAGCAAGGAUGGGGCAGUGUGGGAUCAGCCAGCAAAAGAGAGUCAGGUGACCUCCCAGGAGGGGCUCCAAGUGAAUCACAGACAAGACCUCAUUCAUCCAAGAUACACACUUCAGGGAGAAAGAGGGGCAGGUGGCCAGGACCAUCAUCACCACUGUGGAGGUGCUAAGAGUCUUGUGAAAGAUCGCCCAGAAAGUUGAGCUAGAAUAAAAAGUCUCUCCCGGCCCCGAGCCUCUUAACGUCCACGGUGCACAGCCAUGGGCCCGUCACCCUCCCUGGCCAGAGCAAGAGGACACUUCACCCAAAAGGAAUACAAACAAUACAUCCUUUUCAUGCAACUUCUGGCCCCAAAUCCCUUAUAAAA